rnacentral:sRNA from 1 species
GCUGGGUGUGGGGGCGCACACCUGUAAUUCCAGCUGCCUGGGAGACUGAGGCAGGAGGAUCACAAGUUCCAGGCCAGCUUCAGCAGUUUAGCAUGACCCUGUCUCAA